rnacentral:rRNA from 1 species
AGCCAUGCCGCGUGUAUGAAGAAGGCCUUCGGGUUGUAAAGUACUUUCAGCGGGGAGGAAGGUGUUGAGGUUAAUAACCUCAGCAAUUGACGUUACCCGCAGAAGAAGCACCGGCUAACUCCGUGCCAGCAGCCGCGGUAAUACGGAGGGUGCAAGCGUUAAUCGGAAUUACUGGGCGUAAAGCGCACGCAGGCGGUCUGUUAAGUCAGAUGUGAAAUCCCCGGGCUUAACCUGGGAACUGCAUUUGAAACUGGCAGGCUUGAGUCUCGUAGAGGGGGGUAGAAUUCCAGGUGUAGCGGUGAAAUGCGUAGAGAUCUGGAGGAAUACCGGUGGCGAAGGCGGCCCCCUGGACGAAGACUGACGCUCAGGUGCGAAAGCGUGGGGAGCAACAGGAUUAGAUACCCUGGUAGUCCACGCCGUAACGAUGUCGACUUGGAGGUUGUUCCCUUGAGGAGUGGCUUCCGGAGCUACGCGUUAAGUCGACCGCCUGGGGAGUACGGCCGCAGGUUAAACUCAAUGAAUUGACGGGGGCCCGCACAAGCGGUGGAGCAUGUGGUUUAAUUCGAUGCAUCGCGAGAACCUUACCUACUCUUGACAUCCAGCGAACUGGGCCAGAGAUGGCUUGGUGCCUUCGGGAACGCUGAGACAGGUGCUGCAUCGUACUU